GUGCAGGUUUGUGGGGAGCGAAGCCUACAACUUGGCCACUUGGGGCAAAGCGGGGACGGGGCGCGUGUAGGGGCCAGCCGCUCAGCCCGGCCUAGGGGCCACCACCUCUCCCCCGCAUCACUGUGAAGCGGGAGUAGGAGGAGAUAGCGCCCCCCCCCCACUGUUGCCAACUCAUUGUGAUUUUUUUUUGUUAGGUUUUUUUUUUACGGGAAGCCCUGCGUCCGUAAAGCCCCAGCUCCUGGAGUCCUGUUACUAGACUGCUCUCAUAUCCCACCUUGCUACUGACAGUACCAAUAGCAAGACACCAGUGGCCUGCCGUUGACACAACCUGUGUUAAACUGAUGCAGACUGAAAACUUCAAGGUACUGGGGGCUAAGCCUGAUCAUACUCUUCAUUUCAAGGUAGUACCCAUCGGGGUACUCUCCCCGAAUUACUGUUCUGAGCCCUGCAGCUCUUCUUCCAAGUCGUGUAUCCAGGAACCCUGAUGACAGAACUCCCUGGUGGGGAUGGGAACAUCACUCUUAUCCUUCUCUGGGAUCCCCUGGAUUUUCCCCAGUGACUUUUCUGGUUCCUUUUCUGAAGAGGAAAGAAUUUCGUAUGUGUGGGAGAAAAGAUAGAGAUGAAGAAUGGAAAAAAAUAUUUAACCCUCUUCUUUCCUUUCUAAAUGGCUGCCGUGCUCUCUUUCCAGCCCAUUCCCAAAGAAGAAAGGAAAAGGCCCUGUUUUAUUUUUUUUUAAUCUGCCUAUUUGGCUGAGAAUGAGAAGUGGGUGAAGCAGUGUCCGUCCAGCUUUUUCCAAAACUGGAAAGAAUGUUGCCUGAUGGAGGAGGAAGGAGAGAGAGAGAGAGAGAGAGUGGGUUUACCUCUUCUCUUUUUUUGUUGUUUUGUUUCUCAGUUCAUGAAGACCUGACUGAGAAAUAAGCAGUUAUCACUUCCCACCAGCUGAAUCUGUCUGUCGCUUCCUGACAACCGGACGCCAAUAGGUCCCAGCUAGUCCAGCUGUGGCUAAUUUAACAAGUCACAGGUGUAGCAAUAACCCAGCCAGCAGGAACUGAGUCGGUGUGAAUAUUCUUUCGCACAAAGGACCUGCAGCUACAGCCUGCAGUUCACAUCAGGCAGGAGCUGCAAUGAGAUUCUUGAGGAUGGUUGGAGUAAGUCUCAUAAGAGCCUCAGGAGCUGAAAUCGUGGUCUGCCUGUACUUUGAAUAGACAUAAUGCAUGCUACAUAGUUCAUUUGUCAGUAAAUGUUCAUUUGUGUGCAUCUCAUCACUUCACAAACCUGCCCCAAUCACUCAGCCAAAUGCUGUAGAUGCUGAAAUAAUGCCACAUAACUUAGGAUAUGUCUACCCUACAAAAUUAUUUUAACCUAAGUUAUGUCGACAUAGAGCCACCACAGCAAUUCAAUUGCUUUUGCAUGUUCAGCGCUAUGCUCUUUGUGUCAAAGGUGCCCAUCCUCACCAGGAGUGCUUGCACUGAUUUAACUGUCAGUGCGAGGCAUUAUGGGAUGGCUUCUGAAAGCCAGCAGCAGUGCUGCCACUGCGUGGACCUAACAAUGUCGAUCUAAGCGCUACAUCUCUCAUAGAGGUGACGUUAUUAAGCUGGCGUAGAGGGCCAGUUGCAUCGGGGGGAGCAACAUUUUAGUGUAGUUGCUUACAGAGUUAGGUCAAUAUAAGCUGCCCUGUGUCAACUUUGUGAUGUUCACAUUCCAUCCUAUGGACCCUCAGCUACCACAUGUACAUACACGUGUGUGUAUGCACUUAACAAUAGACUAAAUUCUGCUGUUACAUCAGUGUAAGUCUGGAAUAAGUGUAAAUCUGGAAUUCAGCUGAGCUGAGCUACAAGUAUUUUAAAUUAAAAAAAAUCAGAGGAGUAACUCUGGAUUUACAUCAGUUUAUAUGGGAGCAGAAUUUAGCAUGCUCAGUCUUGAAAAUCACCUACUAGUGCUGCCACUGCUGGCCUGUCUUUGCUAUCAGAAAAGUAGCAUGUGAAAUAUUACUAGGUAGUUUGCUAUAACUGCAUUGUGUUGCUGUUUGUCAGAACUAAACAUAAAGCCACUGAUGUAACUGGGAGACAAACAUAACAUGUUCAACCAUAAAACUAUAGCUACAGAAUAUAUAACACCAUCAUUUUUUAUUGUCUUCAUAAUGGAGUGAUCCAGAGCGACGUGCAGUGGGAUGAUCAGCAAUUUGUGAAUUUUCUGCCAAGAGAACCAACCAAUGUCCUAUGAUGUCCAAGGGUAAUGCAGGUUUCCUUUAGAUAAACAUCAGAGGAAAGAAAUAGAGGCAAUUGAUUCCUCUUUUCUCCCUAACUGACCCUGCUAAUCUAACUCAAGGGGAAUAAUCAUGGAGACCAAAAUGUAAUGUAUAGCCAGGGCGCUGCGUAUUCAGUGGCAAGGUCUUCUGGUUUCUGCAGCUGACAGAGAAUGCUACGGCAGCUUCAGAUAAACUAAGAGGCAUAGUUUGGGGAUACAGGGUGACUUUGAAAUAAUGAAUGUUGUCCAUUUAUAUGUAAGUGUGUAACAGUGUUCAUUCAGAUAGGGGAGGAGAAAGAAGUGGCCUUGAGAAUGAAGAAGCAGAGAAUGAGACCCUGAAAGGGAAAUGGGAUGAGGAAAGAGCAGACCUGGAGGGGAGAGAGGUUGGGAAAGAGGGGCAAAUAAAACAGGCAAGUGAAGGACCUUUCAGGCCAGUGCUAGCUUGAGAGAGAGAGAGAGAAGGGAGUUAAGAGCAGAAGCCAAAGUGAGAAAAAACUAUGAGAAAAAGACACUCUAGGAGAUGAAGGUAGAUAGAAAAGGAGAGGAGGAGUAAUAAAGGCAUGACUUGGAGGGGGUAAAUACACUAAAAGGCAGACUGGAGACCAAAUAACAGAGGAGGGAAAGGAAUAUGGAGGGGACUGGUAUUCUGUUACUAUCUGACAUCAGAAGAGAUGACUUAUAUGCUAACAAUUCACAGGUUGGAAAGGAUAAUUAACAUACCUGCCUAUCUAUUUUGGCUACCUUUAAUUUUCAUUGCAGAGCGUGUAUUCAAAUGGAGUAAGGAACAUGACAUUUAAUUGGAUAAGAGGUGGAGUUUGCUAUUUAGGUGAUAACUUUCAGAGUAUGACUGAAAUUCUUCUGUACCUGGAUUUCUUGAAAAUACCUGGCUCUGCUCUAGUACCCAGCUAGUCAAUUUAUUUGUUUUUAUUUGUGCUGUUUAAAAAAGUUACUUAAAGACUCAGAUGAAAAAUAGCUUGAAAAGUUCAAUUAAAUGCAAUGCUUUCUAAUCUUUCUCUCCCCGUUGCAAUUUUAAAUCUUUAAUUGUAAAAGUCAUGCUCUAGUAUAGCUGUAAUACAUUGUAAACAUGUACUGUGAGUGAGUGUGUGUGUGUGUAUGUGUAUAUAUAAAUAUAUAUAUUUAUAUAUUGUAUAUUAUAAAUAUAUAUAUUUAUAUUUUUUGGAAGGCCAUCUGGUUCAAGGUUAAGUCAAGAUAUUCGAAAUUUGCUUGAGCUGAGAUAUAGAUAAGUGUAUCUGAACUGCGAUAUAAGCCACCCUAUUGCUGAACUGCAUUAUCUGAUUUUGAUAAUGUACAUCAGCUGAAAGGCUUCUUGUUGGGCUUCACUCUUGCCAUUAUGACUUCAAAAGAUGGCUGCACUUCAUUGCAGAUGAAUAUCUAACAAUUCUAAGGCGGAUUGGAACUAAUUUUGCUAGAUCAUUUUAAAGUAGAUUAUUUGAAAGUGUUUAGCAAUUUGUCAUGCGCUACUCUAGACAGCUAAACUCCUUAUUCUGGAAUAAAGAUAGAAAGUUCAAACUUUUGUCAGUAAAAGGAAGUGUAUUUUUCUUAGACUUGUAUCUUUCUGAUAUUUAUAAGGUAUAGUCCUUUGACACCAGGCAGUGUCAGUAUUUUAUUGUAUUACAGACUAUCAAAAAUAGAAUCUUUGUUUCUUAAGAGUUCAUCUGUUGCCCCAAGAAACAACCAAUUGUAAUGUCACUCUAGGAGUACAAUUUCAGGUGGGGCAAUCAGCAGAAGGAAAAGAUAAAGGUUUAAGAAACAACCAAAUCUUUCCUUUUAUAAAGGACUAGGCAAGAGAACUAUAGAAAACCUUCCAGUAGAGAGGGGCAGGAGGUUGGGAUUUGGUUUUGAAAAACCUCAUUGAUUUGAAUUCUGGCAUGGAGCAGUUCUGGUCUGGGUUACACUUUAUCUGAGGCACCAAACUGUGAGGAGAUAGGCCCAAAGCAGAACAUUUUAUCCAAUUUCAGUGUUAAAGCAAAAUUACUUUCAUUCUGGAAGUUGUUUGUUUUCUGUAAUAAACAGCUAACACUCCCCCACCCCAUAUUCCUCACCAUAAAAAGGACCUUUAGAAUUGAGUUUGAAAUAGUGUUCAAUGGUCAGUGAAUUUUCUACAGCUCAGUGGUCAAUGUGUAAUUUGUUUUCCUUGAAUACAGACAUUGUGCCUAUUUUAGGAAGCAAAACUGAUUGUGAGAGGUGCUCAAUCAAGAGCAGUCCCGCCAUUUGUACUUGUGAUGGUGCACUUGCUGGUUGUAUUUGUUGCCAUUUUGCAACAAGCCACAAUCUGAACUUGGAGAUGGUUAGAUAUAUGCAGGACUUUAGGUAUCAGCUCAAGACAAAAAAUAAGGGUUCAAAUUCAGAAGAUGCAUAUAUGGAGGGUGCGAGAGACCACUGAAGGAUUAAGUGUUUGAGGCUUAUAUAAGAUUUGGAAAUUCAUACAAUCCUGAGGCUGUGUAUAAAUAGUACCUUUGUAUUUGAAGGGCACAUUUCAGACCUUCACAAAUAGGAUACAUAUGUUCUGAAUGGAAUAGCUGAAAGCAGACCAGAAUCAAUUUUAAGAGAUUUAGAGGACCCUGGCUGUAUUCAUAUUGUGUUUCAUUAUGUUUCUACUCCACCUGGCGGCUCCCCAAACAUCCCCCUCCUCCCCACACAUCAGUUUGAUAUCUGCAUUGUAAAUAGAACUCAGCACAAAUGCAUUAGUUUGAAUGGGGUCUCCUUCUAUGAGAGAUUCUUCUUUAAUAGUUUCAGAGUAGCAGCCGUGUUAGUCUGUAUUCGCAAAAAGAAAAGGAGUACU